GUCUCAAUUUUUUCCACAGCUGUAUAUAUUAAAAAUUACAUUUAGCAGAUGCUUUGAUCCAGCCUGCUUCCCCCUGAGUCACAGCCACAGCCUGCUCCCCCCCCCCCCAGCCAAAGAACAGAGGGGAUGGACACAUGCAUGAAACUGAAGGCUGUGGUCCAUACCUUCAUAGAGGAUGCCCAUUCAUUCGGUGUGGUUCCUGAGAUUAUCGAAGAGACCCUCCCGCUGACUCCUGUAAAGUGCAUGAGGAGACGUGUCUCUGACCCCGGGUCAUCCUGAGAUGUCUCGCUGACGGAAGAGACGACCCCUCAGAAAGAUCCUGGGUUUGGAGGCCUUCCCAGAUGUUCAGCUGCUCAGGAGCAACACACUUUGCUCCGGGCAACCAGGCUCCAGUCCCUCAUCCCUGUUGGCCAGGUCUCCCUCCACCCCAGUGAUGACCGAGAGCUGCAGAGUACAGAGCAAAAGAC